rnacentral:rRNA from 1 species
AUUGAACGCUGGCGGCAUGCCUUACACAUGCAAGUCGAACGGUAACAGGUCUUCGGAUGCUGACGAGUGGCGAACGGGUGAGUAAUACAUCGGAACGUGCCUAGUAGUGGGGGAUAACUACUCGAAAGAGUGGCUAAUACCGCAUGAGAUCUACGGAUGAAGGCAGGGGAUCGCAAGACCUUGUGCUACUAGAGCGGCCGAUGGCAGAUUAGGUAGUUGGUGGGAUAAAAGCUUACCAAGCCGACGAUCUGUAGCUGGUCUGAGAGGACGAUCAGCCACACUGGGACGGAGACACGGCCCAGACUCCUAUGGGAGGCAGCAGUGGGGAAUUUUGGACAAUGGGCGCAAGCCUGAUCCAGCAAUGCCGCGUGCAGGAUGAAGGCCUUCGGGUUGUAAACUGCUUUUGUACGGAACGAAAAGCCCCGGGUUAAUACCCUGGGGUCAUGACGGUACCGUAAGAAUAAGCACCGGCUAACUACGUGCCAGCCGCCGCCGUAA